CGGAAAUAUCCAGCUCGACGGUCUGCCCAGCGUACUGCGGUAGCUGCGGGCACGGGUCCGGAAUGGACACAGUGAAAGUCAAAUGAUCAAUGCUCUGGGAGACUACCGGCACGUAACGCGUGAGGCUCGCCUC
rnacentral:SRP_RNA from 11 species